AGUGAGCGGGAUGAGCUCAAAUUUAAAAUCUGGCUGGUUUACUAGUCCGAAUUGUAGUUUAUAGAAGCGUUUUCGGUGGCAGCCUGGGUAUAAAUCCUUUGGAAUAGGGUAUCAUAGAGGGUGAGAAUCCCGUCUUUGACUCAGUGCAUGCUACUAUGUGAUACGUUUUCAAAGAGUCGAGUUGUUUGGGAAUGCAGCUCAAAAUGGGUGGUAAAUUUCAUCUAAAGCUAAAUAUUGGCGAGAGACCGAUAGCGAACAAGUACCGUGAGGGAAAGAUGAAAAGAACUUUGAAAAGAGAGUUAAACAGUGCGUGAAAUUGUUGAAAGGGAAACGCUUGACACCAGUCAUGCGAGUGGAAAAUCAGUCUUUUGCAAUGGGGAGUUGUGGGCGUUCAGACCGCAAGGCUGGCGUUUGCUUCAUCUUUGUUGUAAGUGAUGCACUUUUUCAUUUGCAGGUCAACAUCAGUUUGCUUUGCUGGACAAAACCCCAAGGGAAGGUGGCAGCUUAGGCUGUGUUAUAGCCCUGGGGCGAUACAGUGGAGUGGACUGAGGUUUUCGCAGUGUGUGCUCUCUGGGCAAGGCUGACUGGGUGCUAUGGGAUCGUUCGGCGUACAAUGCAUGCAUUUUGCGUCGUGUCUUUUUCAUACUCGCUCAACUCGGCUCUUCCACACUUAGGA
rnacentral:rRNA from 1 species